UUUGGGUUGAUUUUCUCUAACAGGCUCUGCCACCCUCGUGAAUUUCCCAGUUGUGAGUCACAACUCAUCCUCUGCUUCUCCCCCUCCCUGGCAUCUUCAGGCACCUCCUGAGGGUUUGAAGAUAUUAACAAUGAUAAUAUCUUGUGCAGGGUUUUCUCUUGCUCUGUGCUGCAUGAGAGCUGGGAAUUCACCCUCUGAGUGAAAAAGAAGUUCUUCCAUCCCUGCUGGGCGACAGGAGGUGGGAGCAGCACAGGGAGAACCCAGCCACACUCGGCCACAUCUGGCAAGGGCAGCAUUACCAAAGGACCUGGGUCAGCAAAGAGAACAUGACCUGUGGCACUCGUGGGUCACCUCCUGCCUGGACUGUCCCAUCACACCCCAGUCCCGACUGGAUGAUUAAAAAGUCACUGCCUUUGAGAACAAAAGCCCAAGGACAGAGUUGCUGGGGGUGUGUGUGGAAUCCAGUCCUCAGGAGCAUCCUGGUCUCCGUUGUGGCUCUCUCAUUGCAGCCAGGCAGAGUCACUCUGUUUCUUUCCAUGAUUUCAUCAAACUCUAAUGGAAGUCUGAUGGCUUCAGGGUAAUUCUACCACAGUGACUUUGCUCCUGUGUGUGUUAGAAGGAAUAAAAAUGUGAACUACAAAAGAGGAUUUUCUCUCCCUGCUCAGUUUCCUCUCCCUGAGUGUUUCCUGCUUUAACCACCAGCAGUUUCACAUCAUGCAAAACCUGCUGUGUGAUUUUGGUGAAGGCAGAGGUCCCUCAGUUUGGUUUUUUGGGUUUCAUAGUUGCAGUGGGGCUGGGGGUACCCAGAGCUGCCCAACCCUGUUCACCCUUCGAG